rnacentral:lncRNA from 1 species
AAAGGGUCUAUCACUGUUGACGUGGACCCGUUCAGGAGAGAGUAAACUCUACUAUUACAAUAUAGAUAGAUUAUUAAUCAUUUUUCUUUUCUUUUUAUGAAUCUGCAAUAACUAUAAUUUAUUUAACAAUUAUUUUAAUAGUUAAAUAUAAUAGAAAAAAAUUAUUUAAAAAUUAGAGUAGUAUUUAAUAAAUUUAAUUUUUAAUCAUACAAAAUUAAAUUGACAAAAUGUAAUAAAAGAAAAAUAUAUUUUAAGUUUUUUGGUAUAAAAUUGAAUAAACCAAAAACUGACAGUAUAUAAACCGAACCAAACCAAAAUAUAUAUGAUUUUCUAAUUUUUAUAAACCAAAAUAAAAAAAAAAACAAACUGAGACCAGACUAAAAUUGAAUGAACCAAAAACUGAAAGUAUAUAAAUUGAAUCAAACCAAAAUAUAUAUGAUUUUAAUAAGGUAUUGUGGGAACCGAAAUUCGCACUGUCGAUUUCCGUUUAAAUAAGGAAACUAAGAAAACCCUAGUUUCCCAGAGGACCCGGAUAUCUGUUAAUUACCACACG